rnacentral:lncRNA from 1 species
GGGAACAGGAAUCCCAGUGGAAUGACUCAGAGAGAAAGGGCAGCAAGAGAGGAAGACCAGGAGGUCGGAGACCUUGCUUCUGAUGUCUUUUCUAUUUCUUUCACUCCAAAGCAUGUGAAGUUACCAUACUAAGAGGUGUAUUUUGAGCCCUAACAAUGUGAAUGUCAGCACUGUGGGAGUGCAGCUAUGACAAGGAUUGCAAGAUGGAACAUCACACAAGAACAAGGGAAACACCAGAGCAAUGACAAGUGGGGGCCGUUGCAUAUCCACAGAAAUAAAAACAAAAAAGAAGAAGAAUAGCUUCUAUCUGCCACCAGCCAGGUUCACCACCACUGAAGUUGCCACUCCGGGCCACACCACCAGCCAACAAGAUGAGAGGAGUGCGCGCACUUUGCCAGGCCUGGAUCUGUGACAACAGUUUCCAUCUCUUCCCAUUGCCGAAGCCCUGAACAACAAAGGAAAAACAUUCUAAGAGCCCAUGAAAUGUUUUUAUUGAAACCCUGAUCUCCAGAGAGAGAGAGAGAGAUUGAGGAAGCGAUUUAAGCAACCUUAUUACAAAAUAAAAAGUAUCCUCCUACUCCAUGACCGGAAAUGCCGGAAAGAAGAGACAAGCCCAUAAAAAAAAAGUACUAAAAAAAGUUUUUCAAAAAACCGGAACAAAGAGGAGAC